AUUGAACGCUAGCGGGAUGCCUUACACAUGCAAGUCGAACGGCAGCGCGGACUUCGGUCUGGCGGCGAGUGGCGAACGGGUGAGUAAUGUAUCGGAACGUGCCCAGUAGCGGGGGAUAACUACUCGAAAGAGUAGCUAAUACCGCAUACGCCCUACGGGGGAAAGGGGGGGAUCGCAAGACCUCUCACUAUUGGAGCGGCCGAUAUCGGAUUAGCUAGUUGGUGAGGUAAAGGCUCACCAAGGCGACGAUCCGUAGCUGGUUUGAGAGGACGGCCAGCCACACUGGGACUGAGACACGGCCCAGACUCCUACGGGAGGCAGCAGUGGGGAAUUUUGGACAAUGGGGGCAACCCUGAUCCGGCCAUUCCGCGUGUGCGAUGAAGGCCUUCGGGUUGUAAAGCACUUUUGGCAGGAAAGAAAUCGCACGGAUUAAUACUCUGUGUGGAUGACGGUACCUGCAGAAUAAGCACCGGCUAACUACGUGCCAGCCGCCGCCGUAA
rnacentral:rRNA from 1 species